ACAAAAACUUGUACUGCUAAUUGUAGAAGUGCCUGUACACACAACCAUAAAAGUAAAUUUCUUACUCCAACUUAAACUGGUAUUUUAAAAUUGACAUGUACGCCUUUCUUGGAGAAAUAUAAAAAGAGAGGUUAAAAGCUGCUAAAAAAUAGUAAUGUUUCUUUUUUCGAAAUCGCGCAGUAAUGUGCUUUUUCUAUGUUCAAAAAUCGGCACAGAAAUUAAAUGCGGUGUUGUCAUAUUAGUAUUAUCUACCUCCACAAUUACAUUUUACAAGGUUAUAAAUUGUUUUUCGGUUUAGCAGUAAUUCUAUACUCUUUGAUAACCCUUUUUAUUAGUUAUUAGAAACACAUCCGGUUUAUUAAUUUUAUAAAUAUAAUUUAUUAACUAAAUUUGCGCGUAAUCUCGCAACGUCGCAACCUUGCAUGGCAACAGCGGAUUUCUUGAAGUGCAGCGACAUUCUAUGGCAGCGAACAAUGUGUAUCCACAUAACCUGUAAUAAGUUUUUGUUCGGUGCAGAAACAACCAUGGAAAACAUUAUAUGGAGAAUAUCUCAUUUUGCAUACGAGUAUUUCGCUGAAAAAGAAAAUUCUGUGAAAUCAACAUUUUGGGCUACAUAGUCGUUGUUAAAGUCAACUCUGUUAAUAUAAAACAGCAUAGAUAUAAUCUAAGUACACCAAGUUCUCAAGCAAAAAAUAUAGGUUAUGUUUCCCAGAAAUCAAAUAUAUUUACAAGAGAAAACUUACGAAAAUUUUUAACAGAGGCCCGUGAUUAAUGUACCUAAUGUCAAAGGUAAUCUCAAAGAAGGUCAAUCACAUUGUCUAUAAAACAUAAUGUUUUAGGUAUAUUUUUUAUUUGAAGUUGUAGGAGUAUGCGGAAAGGAAGAAUUUGAACAAUUUUCUUGUAUCUACAUAACCUAUAAUAAGCUUUUAUUAUUAUUACAGAACAGAUUAUUAGCUUACAUGCCCAUUUUAAAUGAAAGUAUGAAGCAUACCUCUUAUUUUUCGGCACUUUUAAUAUUUUUGCUUGCAGAAAGAUCUGCAGCAAUUGCAAAAUAGAGAUGGAUAGCAAUAAUAACAAGCAGUUUACAUGCAUUCGACCGAACUUGCAAAAACUGGCAGAUAAUAUAUCAAAUUUAUUACCUAAAAACUCAGCCACAGUUUAUGAAAAGCGGUAUGAAUUUUUUUUUUUUUUUUGCGCAGAAACAACCAUGCAAAAUAUAUGGAGAACACCUCAUUGCAUACGAGUAUUUCGCUGAAAAAGCAAAUUCUGUGAAAUCUUUAACACUUUGGGCUGCAUAGUCGUAGUUAAAGUCAACUCUGUUAAUAAAAAACAGCAUAGAUAUAUCUAAGUACACCAAGUUUUCAAGCAAAAAAUAUAGGUUACAUUGCCAAGAAAUCAAAUAUAUUUACAAGAGAAGACUUACCAAAAUUUUUAACAGAAGCCCGUGAUUAAAUGUACACGAUGUUAAAGGUUUAUUUUUUAUUAGAAGUUGUAGGAGCAUGUGGAAUGGAUAAAUUGAAAAAUAAUGACGGCAUUCAAGACAAAAACGAUACGCUAAUAAUUAAAAUUCCAACGUCUAAAACUGGCAAAGCACGAGAAUUUACAAAUAUGUGUAAAAAUAUUUAUCCAAUUGAAAUAUAGUAAAAAUACCUAAUUUUAAGACCGCACCAUACACCAGACAAAUCAUUAUUUAUACAUUACAUUUGGAUAGUGAAUGCAGCAGCUGCUGCAUUGUACAAAUAUACCUGCAAACACACUGUAACAAAUUAUGCAGACACCUCUUUUGACUAAAAGAUAUAUAUUUAACUUUAUCCAUACGUUGUCAACUUUGUUAAUAAUUGCAAUCUCUAACUUCAUAAGAAAUAUGAAUAAUCUACUUUGGUGUUUUAUAGUAGUAUUAAAUGUUCAUAGAAUAUAAUUGCACUUACUACGAAGUAAGCUUUCCUAGUUUUAAGUUGUUUUCUUUUCUCUUUGAUUAUCUUAAUUUCUUCAGCCUCUAUGUGGCUGUUUUAAUUCCAAAAAAUUGUUUCUGAAUAAACUGAUUCAUACCA